rnacentral:rRNA from 1 species
AGAGUUUGAUCCUGGCUCAGAUUGAACGCUGGCGGCAUGCCUUACACAUGCAAGUCGAACGGCAGCACGGGAGCAAUCCUGGUGGCGAGUGGCGAACGGGCGAGUAAUAUAUCGGAACGUGCCCAGUCGUGGGGGAUAACGCAGCGAAAGCUGUGCUAAUACCGCAUACGAUCUCUGGAUGAAAGCGGGGGACUCAGCAAUGGGCCUCGCGCGAUUGGAGCGGCCGAUAUCAGAUUAGCUAGUUGGUGGGGUAAAAGCCCACCAAGGCGACGAUCUGUAGCUGGUCUGAGAGGACGACCAGCCACACUGGAACUGAGACACGGUCCAGACUCCUACGGGAGGCAGCAGUGGGGAAUUUUGGACAAUGGGCGCAAGCCUGAUCCAGCAAUGCCGCGUGCAGGAUGAAGGCCUUCGGGUUGUAAACUGCUUUUGUACGGAACGAAACGGUCGCCUCUAAUAAAGGCGGCUAAUGACGGUACCGUAAGAAUAAGCACCGGCUAACUACGUGCCAGCAGCCGCGGUAAUACGUAGGGUGCGAGCGUUAAUCGGAAUUACUGGGCGUAAAGCGUGCGCAGGCGGUGAUGUAAGACAGAUGUGAAAUCCCCGGGCUCAACCCUGGGACCUGCAUUUGUGACUGCAUCGCUAGAGUACGGUAGAGGGGGAUGGAAUUCCGCGUGUAGCAGUGAAAUGCGUAGAUAUGCGGAGGAACACCGAUGGCGAAGGCAAUCCCCUGGACCUGUACUGACGCUCAUGCACGAAAGCGUGGGGAGCAAACAGGAUUAGAUACCCUGGUAGUCCAC